GUUUUGAGGUUUCCAAUCUGUCCUCGAUAUUAAGUAACUAUUAGACUGUAUGAAUAGACUGUGACUAUUUUUUAUCCCACUUGCUUUAUUUUUUGUUGAGUACACUUACCUCGCUUAGUCUCAAAAAUCUUAGCCAUUAAAACUCUGAAUUGUAUCUCUCCAAUUAGCUCUUUGUGCUGCCCCUAGAAGUUCAAUUACACACCUGUUGAAUUUUCUUCAUACUAUUCUAAAAUUCUGAGUGAUUUUCUCAGUUUUAUAUUUCUAAUUAUAUGUUUGUGCUCAGUUUAAUCUGGAGCUUUUCUAUUAAAUUUUAUAAUAUCAACUAUUAAAUUUUAAUUCCAAUAUUUUAGUUGGUUAAUUUUUAUAUUAGUCUAUUAUUGGUUAAGAACUGCAUGCUUUUAUUCCACUAUUCAUUUGACUCAGAGACUCCUAGAUGUUUGUGAGCAGAUUCUGAGUAAAAGUAGCAUGUGCCACUUCCAUAAGGUGCUUGUAAACCUCCCAUCCACUUUUUCUCAUGCUCUUUCCACUUUCCUGUCACCUUCAGGAUGAUGAGAGGAGCAAUUCUAAAGCCAAGUACUCAAAUUGGAACAAUCGCCUACAUGUCCAGGUCACUGAACAACUGUAUGUGUCAAAACUGGUGCCAAACUAAAAUUCCCCACACUGUACUGUUAUGUGAGAAACUUCUAAACCUUUAAGUCAGUUAAUUAUGGCUUGAAAACUCAUCUUGCAUUGGAAUAUUUCUCUUUUCCAACACGCCACCCCAAUCCAUGCAAUAUUUUCUGAGGUUGUGUCAGCCCAACCCCAGGGUUCCACAGUUCUUAAAGAGGUCAUCUAAGUAGUCAUAACACUAGAGGACAGCAUCUCUGUCUUAAAACCAGCAUAUAUAGCUUGACUAGGAUCGAACUUGUGCUGCUGCUUCUUUUUACUCUCUCCACCACAUAAAAGCAGUCUGUCCUACAAGUGGGCAAAACUUUACCAACUACAUUGGUAGUUAGCUUUGAGACUCAACAAGAGUUAUGCUGUCUCUUUUCAUAUCCAAGGGUUGAAAUUCUAGACUCAACUCCUGCUUCUGAGCUUAGCAUCUCUUGGGCCAUAAGGCUUCAUUUCCUAUUGUUAACCUCUAAAAUAUGUCUUGCUUGUGUAUUUUUUUAGCACUGUGAUACUCCUUUAUCAUCUCAUAAGCUAUUUCUACAUAUUUGUAGAAGUGAGAACAGUUAUCUUCAUGUACUUAAUCUAAUAUCAUGACUUCAUAAUUUGUUCUAAACAGUGAGAACUAUGCAGAGAUAUAUACGCAAAGAUAUGUUAGCAUUAAUAAAAAUAAAAAAUAAAUGAUUGACAAAAUGAUUUGAUUAAAUUAUGCUAUUUCACAGAAUAGAAUAUAUGCAGUCAAUCAAAAUAAUUAUGUUAAAGACUACUGACAAAGCUGAACAUAUAUUAAUUUUCCAAAUUAAAAAGUAGCCAUUAAAAAAAAUAAUAAUAAAAAAAUAAAAAAAUAAAAAAAAAUAAAAAGUAGCCAUUUAUACAAGUUUAUAUAUGUAUGAUAAACAUUUACAUGUUUGAACGCGUGUGUGUGUGCAUAUAUAACAUGUUACAGUGUAGGAUAUCAGGUUAUUUUAAAUUUGUAAACUCUGGGGACGCCUGGGUGGCUCAGUGGUUGAGCGUCUGCCUUCCGCUCAGGGUGUGAUCUCAGGGUUCCAGGAUCGAGUCCCACAUCAGGCUCCCUGGAGGAGCCUGCUUCUCCCUCUGCCUAUGUCUCUGCAUCUCUCUCUCUCUCUGUAUCUUUCAUGAAUAAAUAAAUAAAAACUUAAAAAAAAAUUUGUGGGUUCUGAAUAUAUAUUUCCCAAAAUUUUUAGGAUGAACAUUUUCUUAAUUCAGAAAACAGUAUUAAAAAGUUCAAUUUCUAAAGGUAAUACUGGACUACCACAGUGAAGAGUUGGUAUUAGUUGGUAAUACACUAAAAACAAAUAAAUUGAUAAAAAGAUAUUAUUUAGCUUAUGAUUUGUUCAUGCUAUCAUUGGCCCCAAAAUAAUACCUGUGCUUUUUACAACACUCUGGGACUCAAAUUUGGGAUCUUGAGCCUGCUGUUUCUUGUUUGACAAGCAGACAGAUCUUCCAUUAUGCCCCAAGGGUCAGAAAACUUGGGCUCUUUCAGGCAAAGCAGUAAAUUAUUUAGUAACUUCUUGAUAGCUCCAUUAAUGACCUGAUAGAUCAGCACAUCAAUGAAAUGUGUAAAGUAUACUAGUUGAUGGUGGUAUGAAAAAUUCAUUGAAUACAAAGGGAAGAAACAAACUGAUCAAAAUAUCAGUGGAGAGAAAAUCUGCCAAUACACAAAACCUUAAGGAAAUAAUGAGGAAAAUGAGAAUGAAGAGACGUAUUAAAAACAAUGGGUUUGGAAGCUUUGGAAGAUGUUUGACUCUGUAUAUUUAGGAAAAAAUAUAUAAAUUUCUGUUGUGAACUAUGUCUUAAAAACAUGUAUUUGAAACAAAACCUAGAGGGCUUGUGCAACUAAAAUAUUUACUGGACUUGACUGCUUUUAAAGUACUAGAUACAAUCUAAGUUCCUUGAGGGUUGGGCAAAUAACUAUAAUUUUUAUUUUCCAGUGCAUCAGCCUAGUGCUCCCCAUGUAGUAAGUGAUCAUUAAAUCAUUGCUGAAUUGAACAGAACAGACUGAAGUUUCCAAAAGUAAAAAGUGGUAAAUGCAAUUAUAUAAAUCUGGAAAACAACAAGGUCAUGUUCAGAAAACCUAUCCUUUAUUUGAUACAAUAUUUUGUUCUCUAUUUAAUAUUUCUGUAUGGAAACUACCCUCUAAAAAUUCUUGGGUUUUAGAAGACUUAUCCUUAUUUUAAUUUUCCUGUGCCACACAUACUUACUCUUUCCUUUUUAAGUCUAAGAACAGUGGCAGUAGAAAUGGAUUUUCUUCCAAGGUGAAAUAUUUUAAAAACCCAAAGUUCAUAAAUAAUUAACGCAUCUUGGCCCAGAAUUUAACUGAUACACAUAAAAGUUGGCCUACCCAAUGAGGCUGACUUCUCCCUAAGCUUUGAAGGCAAUAAUAGCUUUAAGCUUUUUGGAGGAAGAGAAAAAAAGAAAGGAAAAGCAUGCCUCCCAAGUAGGAGGCAGCUAUGUUUAUGAACCCUGAUGCCCGGCCAA
rnacentral:lncRNA from 1 species